rnacentral:rRNA from 1 species
GAUGAACGCUGGCGGCGUGCCUAAUACUUGCCAGUCGAGCGAACGGACGAGAAGCUUGCUUCUCUGAUGUUAGCGGCGGACGGGUGAGUAACACGUGGAUAACCUACCUAUAAGACUGGGAUAACUUCGGGAAACCGGAGCUAAUACCGGAUAAUAUUUUGAACCGCAUGGUUCAAAAGUGAAAGACGGUCUUGCUGUCACUUAUAGAUGGAUCCGCGCUGCAUUAGCUAGUUGGUAAGGUAACGGCUUACCAAGGCAACGAUGCAUAGCCGACCUGAGAGGGUGAUCGGCCACACUGGAACGGAGACACGGUCCAGACUCCUACGGGAGGCAGCAGUAGGGAAUCGUCCGCAAUGGGCGAAAGCCUGACGGAGCAACGCCGCGUGAGUGAUGAAGGUCUUCGGAUCGUAAAACUCUGUUAUUAGGGAAGAACAUAUGUGUAAGUAACUGUGCACAUCUUGACGGUACCUAAUCAGAAAGCCACGGCUAACUACGUG